rnacentral:lncRNA from 1 species
UGGGUAGUUGGGAUGGUUUUGGUUUUAAUUUCCUAAUAUUCAAUUUGUUUUUCUUUUAAAAUAAAUCCCGACAAAAUUUUUAAAUUUCCUCUACAGUUUUUGCACAUCCCUUUUUGUUUGUUGUUUUUCUUUUUUUUUUCCUUUCUUUUCAUUUUUCAUUCAUUUGGCUUGUUACUAAGUUGCUUCCUGCGGUUCCAAUAAGUGAUUUUCUAGCUUUUGUUCUUUCUUUCUUUAGCAACUCCAGCCUUUCUUUAGUUAUUUUGAUUGGUGUUGUGUAGCAUUCAAUUUUGGUUGGGGGGAGGUGUGUCUGAUCGAAUCUGUUCUUGAGUGGUGGUGUGGUUUUUUUAUUUUUCUUUAUUCUUUUUUUAUCUAUAUAAUUGGGGGUCAUAUGUUGUGCUAAUCGUGGAGUUAUUUUAGGGGAAACUUACGAGGCAUUUGAUCCUUCGACAAGUUAAGCUCUAUGGUGUUCAGUUGUUUCGUUUGGGGGUAAGUCGUCAAACGUUAUUUUGGGAAUUUUUGUUGGCAUGGUUUUGUCAUUUUGUGAUUAGAUUUGGUAAGAGAACGUGUUAAUUGACUUGUGUUUCUAUCAAAU